rnacentral:snoRNA from 1 species
UUGCUGUGAUGACCAUCUUAGGACACCUUUGGAAUAACCAUGAAAAAAACCCAAGUUGUUAUUUCUGAGCAAC